rnacentral:rRNA from 1 species
ACGGAAGGCAGCAGUAGGGAAUAUUGGACAAUGGGGGCAACCCUGAUCCAGCGACGCCGCGUGAGUGAAGAAAUAUUUCGGUACGUAAAGCUCUAUCAGCAGGGAAGAAAAUGACGGUACCUGACUAAGAAGCACCGGCUAAAUACGUGCCAGCAGCCGCGGUAAUACGUAUGGUGCAAGCGUUAUUCGGAUUUACUGGGUGUAAAGGGAGCGUAGACGGCAUAGCAAGUCUGAAGUGAAAUGCGGGGGCUCAACCCCUGAACUGCUUUGGAAACUGUUAAGCUAGAGUGUCGGAGAGGUAAGUGGAAUUCCUAGUGUAGCGGUGAAAUGCGUAGAUAUUAGGAGGAACACCAGUGGCGAAGGCGGCUUACUGGACGAUAACUGACGUUGAGGCUCGAAAGCGUGGGGAGCAAACAGGAUUAGAUACCCUGGUA